AUAAUUGACCACUAUAAUUUUUUGAUGAUUUUUUAAAUACUGCCCUUCUCGUCAUAUAUUGCCAGUGACGCACGCAUGGGACCUCAUUAUUAAAAGGCAAGAUGAGAAGACGUGCUAAUAGAAACCAAUAUUUGUUAUUUAGAUAUUACGUAACAAAAGGUGUACAGUCAGCGUCAAAUACUUUGUAGCAGUCAAAGUGGCCAAAUAGUUCGGUACACCAUACUAAAUAUAUGGUGUACCGAACUAUUUGGCUACUUUGGUUGCUACAAAGUAUUUGACGCUGACUGUACCUAC